rnacentral:rRNA from 1 species
CCUGAUUGACCGAUAGUGAACCAGUACUGUGAAGGAAAGGCGAAAAGAACCCCGGUGAGGGGAGUGAAAUAGAACCUGAAACCUUGUACGUACAAGCAGUGGGAGC